rnacentral:rRNA from 1 species
CGGACGGUUUCCAGAGAUGGAUUCCUUCACUUCGGUGACUGACACACAGGUGCUGCAUGGCUGUCGUCAGCUCGUGUCGUGAGAUGUUGGGUUAAGUCCCGCAACGAGCGCAACCCUCGCCUUUAGUUGCCAUCAUUUAGUUGGGCACUCUAGAGGGACUGCCGGUGAUAAGCCGGAGGAAGGUGGGGAUGACGUCAAGUCUUCAUGGCCCUUACGGGCUGGGCUACGCACGUGCUACAAUGGUCGGUACAAAGGGUUGCCAAGCCGCGAGGUGGAGCUAAUCCCAUAAAAC